rnacentral:rRNA from 1 species
AAUCUUCACAAUGCGCGCAAGCGUGAUGAGGGAAUCCCAGGUGCCCUUGCACUGCAAGGGCUUUUGUGGAGUGUAAAAAGCUCUACGAAUAAGGGCUGGGCAAGACCAGUGCCAGCCUCCGCGGUAAUACCCGCAGCCCAAGUGGUGAUCGUUACUAUUGGGUUUAAAACGUCCGUAGCUGGUCUAGUAAAUUCCUGGGUAAAUCGAAUUGCUUAACAAUUCGAAUUCCGGGUAGACUGCUAGACUUGGGACCGGAAGAGGUCAGAAGUACUUCUGGGGUAGGG